AACGAACGCUGGCGGCAGGCCUAACACAUGCAAGUCGAGCGAGGACUUCGGCUCUAGCGGCGGACGGGUGAGUAACGCGUGGGAAUGUGCCCUUCUCUACGGAAUAGCCCUGGGAAACUGGGAGUAAUACCGUAUACGCCCUAUUGGGGAAAGAUUUAUCGGAGAAGGAUCAGCCCGCGUUGGAUUAGGUAGUUGGUGGGGUAAUGGCCUACCAAGCCGACGAUCCAUAGCUGGUUUGAGAGGAUGAUCAGCCACACUGGGACUGAGACACGGCCCAGACUCCUACGGGAGGCAGCAGUGGGGAAUCUUAGACAAUGGGGGCAACCCUGAUCUAGCCAUGCCGCGUGAGUGAUGAAGGCCUUAGGGUUGUAAAGCUCUUUCAGCUGGGAAGAUAAUGACGGUACCAGCAGAAGAAGCCCCGGCUAACUCCGUG
rnacentral:rRNA from 1 species